CCCAUCUUGAAGGGAAGAACUCAUGGAUGUUCACAUCAUUUCUAUUGGAAGAAGGGAGCAUUGUUUCUUUUUACAGAAGGUGGCAAUGGUAGCUGCCUGAUGACCUCCCUCCUGACAGCUUAGGGCGAGCCCUGGAAGGGAGGCACCAAUCCUGCAUCCGGCCACCACCCCGAAUCUAGCUAGGAAGGACACAGCUACAUCCUCUUGUGGAGUCCUCUUGCCCUGCUUCCAAUGGCCAGUGGAUGUUCCCUUUGCAAAGACUCAGGAAACCCAGAGAAAGGACACAUGGCCUUGGCCGCAAUGUCAGACAAAUAACCAGGCAGGAACCAGCUACCAGUCUGCUUUCCCCAAGACGAGAAGGACACACAGAUCUUAGCCUCCCCCACCCUCCACAGUGUGGGCACAAUGAAGCUAUCUGUGGGGAAGGCACAGAGUGAACCUGCCUUUAUGAUAUUAUUGAUUGAUCAUCCACCUGCAGCUGAGCAGUGUGCCCAGACAGACAAUAAAAGUAAGCGCUUAACCAUAGCACAGGCUCUACCUACCCACUAGAAUAGAUUUUACACUUAAAAAAGAAAAAUAAAAACCAGCUGAUCGGGGGAGGGCUUUAAUGACACUGUUAAGCUUUAAAUGAAAAGAAAUCAGGAUUCGUUUGGCGGAAAAGAGAAAUCAUCCCACCCGUGACGCUCUUUGUGGGACUCUCCUGGAAACGUUUCCAGGUGUGAGAGACAUGGGCGCAUUAAGUUGAAGGUAUCUUCUUGGCAAGCAAUACGCUGAGAUAGUUUGUUUAGCAAACUAACUAUGAGGAGAGGGGGAAAAGUGAGACGCCCACAGUCACUGAGUGGGAGAUGGAGAAACGGAUGGAAAGGGUGGGCCCUGGGCUAGCGGUGUGUCAUCUUUAAGGCAGAUCACAAAGGCUGUAUCCUUAUGGUAAUCCCUCCAGGUGAUACCCAAGAAAAUUGCCCCAUGGAAAACAUGGCAGUGCUUUCUGUUACCCCUACAUGUUUUACGUUAUUGUGAUUUCCAAAAAUAGUAGCCUAGACACUUUUGCUAAAGGCAGAGAAGGUCCAGCUCUAUCACACUCAUAUGUCUGCUUUGGGAAAGGAAGGACAACUGUGAUUAUUUAUCUUUGCUGCUUACUUGCUGAGAUUUAGAAUCACCUAAGUGACCCACCUGUGGGUGUUUCCAGGCAGACUUAACUAAGGAGGAAAGACACUUCCUGAGUGUAGGUGGUGAUGCCAUCCCUUUAGAUCUGGGCUGAAUUGAAACAGUGAACAGAGUCAAUCACCAGCAUUCAUGUGCUUCGUUUCCUGUCUGUGGACACAAUGUCACCAGUGGCCGCAUGCUACUCCGCACCCUGCCUUCUCUGCCAUGAUGGUCGGCAUCCUCAAGCUGGGAGCCCAGAUGGCCUUUAAGCUGGUCUUGCCUGGCAUUUUGUCACAGCAACGGGAGGAGCUGAUACAGAGCCGCAGCUGAGAGAGAAGAAAUGGGCUCUUGGAUAGAGUAUGGUCUUGUUUUCUCCGACCCAUGAUUUCUUCUUCAAAAUGAGAGGGAUGGAGGAGAGGCUUCACCCCUCGAAUUCUAGGAUCAUUGUGAGAAGCGCAAGAGGAACAAGAUGCUCCAAGCGUGCCCCGUGUUAGCAGAGAGGACAGAUGCAGCUAUGGUCAGAGGGUGACAAUGUGACAGUGAGGAAGCAGCUGGGAAACCUGUUGUCACCAUCCUUUAAGUCACGCUGGCAAUAGAACUGAUCAUCUCCUUGCCUUAAUGCCCCCCCCCAGUAAGAUCUUUUAAGAUAGGAUUUCCUACGGUGAUAGCCACAGAGCUAUCCCUUCACCCAGCUACCCUCUCUGGUCAUUGCAGAGAUUUGGGUGUCUUCCUCAUGUAGGUGAUGAGCAAUACCUCAAGGACAGCAAGCCCUUCUGGCAAGGCCAACAGAAGUCUCCAGAACACUCCAGGGAAAGAAGAACAUGGACACUAGCGAUCGUGGAGAAGGCCUAGAGAGGGAACUGCUCUAAUUACCCUAAUGUGAACUUGGCAUGGGCCACAGCUGUCAAGGUCGCUCCUCUUCUUCAGGACAAGGUGCCACUGGCUCGUUUUAAUGACCACAAGGGCUCAUCGGAGCUCACUGCAGCUGAAUAACACUGCUUCCAGAGCCACAGAGGCAGGGGUCUGCCGAGAGGAACUGACUACCCGGACACAGAAACGGGAGUGGCUUUCAUCUUCCAGGAUCAGUUGGAUAUAGGUUUCUCAAAGUGAAGGUGUCCAGCCACGGGUGCUUAGUAUCCCUAUUUCCUUCUGGAAAACUAUAUUGAAAGCCUAGGUUUCCAUGGGACUGGCAUGGGGGAAGCAUCACAUUUAUACAAUUCCUAUCAUGGGGUCAAGAAGGCAAAGGUUUCUGUAUCCCUGUACUUGCCCAUCUGAGAGUAGGCUGGCAUCCUGCUUCCUUAACCCUAUUAUUAUAGGAGGUGUUUGUGUGUAAGAGAGGUAGGGUCUCAUGUCCAGGUAGGCCUCUAACUCUAUGUAGCCAAGGAUGACCUUGAACUUCUGAUUCUUCUGUCUCUACUUCUGGAGUAUUGGGAAGGCAGGGACAUGCCAUCACACCUAGUUGUAUGCAAUGCUGGGGUGGAACCUGGGUCUGUAUACACGGAAGAUGAGCAUGGGAUUGACAGAGAUACAUCCAUAGCCCCAGCAUAGGAGAUUCUGCAAUUUUUCCCAGAUUCCUUGUAGAUUAAUGCAACUCUUUACAAAAAUAUUCAUUCGCCUUUUUUUUAACAGAGAAAAUGAGUAAAGCUUCAAUAAGAACUUG